rnacentral:rRNA from 1 species
AUGAAGCCGGAAUUGCUAGUAAUGGCAGGUCAGCAUACUGCCGUGAAUACGUUCCCGGGCCUUGUACACACCGCCCGUCAAACCAUGAGAGUUGGCAACACCCGAAGUCGGUAGUCUAACCGCAAGGAGGACGCCGCCGAAGGUGGGGUUGAUGAUUAGGGUUAAGUCGUAACAAGGUAAC